UUUCCCCUGGGCUAUGGGCCUGUAUUUGGCCAGAUGACGAGGUGCUCCGAGCGCAUUCAUUCCCUUAUUCACUCAGCAGAUAUUUUUAUGGACGGCCACUCUGUACAAAGCAGUACCUGCAAAACUGUGCCCUGCCCACGGGACGGGGCCCAGCCGGGAGCAGGACGGAACAUGCAAGCUUCGGAGACUCAGCAAACAGACUGAGCCAGUCAGCGGGUCUCCUGCCAGUGAAAUGUGCAUCAGGAAGGCUUGGUCUGGGCGUGGCCGCCUGCCGCUGGCUGACCCACGACUCUGAGGAGGCUGCUGGACCGGCCGGGGCCCCUGCUCGCUCUCCUUCUCACUCUUGCUGGCUAACAGCUGUUAGUUAGGAGGCGCGCUGCAGGUGCAGGUGUGGCUGGCCUUAGUUUUCCCUGCGUGCCCCCAACACCGGUUUGUUGUCCCUGGCCCAUACCCGCGGGACCACUGGGUGAGCACUGCCUGACCCCGGGUCUGCCGCCUUCGCCAGCUGUGUCACAGCGACGGUCUCUGUUGAAUGAGGACAGAGCUUUCUAGACAGAGCGCCGGGAGCCUGGGGUGUGCAGGGACAGCCGGUCGCCUUGCCAGGUGCGUUAAUUUGGCAGUGAUGAAUAUGCAUCUUGGGAAAUGAGGGACUGAAAAUAUGCAACGUAAAGGAAGAACAGAAGACAUCACGGUGGACGUAGAAGAGAGAAGGCCUGGAAUGUGGAGAGUUUGCUUGUCCUUUCCCUACCAACGCUGGUCCAAGUGAUCUCAGACUUACAGACAUUUGCAGGACUAAGGCUGCACAGGUGACUUCUGGGGACUGAACAGGUAGGUUUCUGGUCACUUUUCUCUCUGCCUCCUGCCUUCCCAGCAGCUUCGUAGCCUCAUGGGGGUCAUGGGGAGCUUGUUGGCAAUACAGAACUUUGUCCACACCCACACCUACACAAUCCCAACCUGCCUUUUAGCAUUACCCGGAGGAGACAGGCGUUUAUAUCGGGGUUUAAGAAGAGCUAAUCUGGUCACACCUCCACUUCUCCUAUCCAGGAACUCCCAGCUCAUUUCCUACAAGUACAGUUUCUGCAGUAUUAGCGUUGGUUGUCAUUGUUCUCAAUCUUGCUCUUGUAUUAGCUGGGUUCCUGGAUCCAGCCAGAGAGCCACAGGAGGCCUGGAGAGGUCGGGGGACUCUCUCCUGCCAAGCGGGACCAGCCAGCGACAGGCCUGAUUUGGGCAGCAUUGGUGGUGAGCCUUGGCUGAGAGCCAGCAGUUCAGCCUUGUGACUGGGGCCGUGGGAGCCAUGAACCAGGCAGACAGCACAGCAAACGCGGUCCAUUGCGGAAAGAAUGUUUCACAGGACCCCAAAACAUCGACCCUAAAGGAAAGCGUGAAAAAAGUGAAUGUGUUGAAAUUUUUAAAAACAUGUUUUUCUGCCAAAAGACAGCAUUAACUAAAGUGGGGUUCACACAGACACUGGGACGUCAUGUUCAGAGCAGUCGUUAUGCAAUAGCCCAAGGGGGUGGACCCCGUGUGUACGGGAGGGUGGAUGGAUAAACAAGCGAGCUGCGAACACAAAGUGCAUCGACAACUCAGCCUUCGAGGAUGGAGCUGGGUGCGGAGUGACAAUGGGAGGCUCUUGCUCAACAGAAACAGUUGAGAGUUCUGUGGAUGGGUCGUGGUAAAGCCACAGGACAUGAAUGUACCUGUGUCACUGAACUGGACACUUAAAAAUGGGUCAAAUGGCAAAUUUCGUUGUAUUUUAGCAUAAUAUUUAGAAAAGGAAGGAGAUUCUGACAUUGCUACAACAUAGGGGAAACAUAGGGACAUUAUGCCGAGUGAAAAAUGCCAGUCGUAAAGGGUCAAGUCUCCUCACACCAGGUGCCCAGAGUCAGUGACGCCGUAGGGACAGGAGGCAGAGCACACUGCCAGGGCUGCGGGGACAGAGACAGGGAGCUAUGCCGUGAGCCAGCGUCUCAGCUCUGCAAGAUGAGCAAGUUCUAGAGAUGGAUCGCAGUGAUGGUCGGAACUGUAUUUAAUGCCACUGAAUUAUGCACAAAAGUGGCCAAAAUGGUACAUUUCAGGUAUGUAUUUUAUACUAUAAUAAAGAG